GAUGAACGCUGGCGGCGUGCCUAAUACAUGCAAGUCGAGCGAACAGACGAGGAGCUUGCUCCUUUGACGUUAGCGGCGGACGGGUGAGUAACACGUAGGUAACCUACCUAUAAGACUGGGAUAACUUCGGGAAACCGGAGCUAAUACCGGAUAAUAUUUCGAACCGCAUGGUUCGAUAGUGAAAGAUGGCUUUGCUAUCACUUAUAGAUGGACCUGCGCCGUAUUAGCUAGUUGGUAAGGUAACGGCUUACCAAGGCAACGAUACGUAGCCGACCUGAGAGGGUGAUCGGCCACACUGGAACUGAGACACGGUCCAGACUCCUACGGGAGGCAGCAGUGGGGAAUCUUCCGCAAUGGGCGAAAGCCUGACGGAGCAACGCCGCGUGAGUGAUGAAGGUCUUCGGAUCGUAAAACUCUGUUAUUAGGGAAGAACAAACGUGUAAGUAACUGUGCACGUCUUGACGGUACCUAAUCAGAAAGCCACGGCUAACUACGUG
rnacentral:rRNA from 1 species